rnacentral:rRNA from 1 species
UUGAACGCUGGCGGCAUGCCUUACACAUGCAAGUCGAACGGUAACAGGUCUUCGGAUGCUGACGAGUGGCGAACGGGUGAGUAAUACAUCGGAACGUGCCCGAUCGUGGGGGAUAACGCAGCGAAAGCUGUGCUAAUACCGCAUACGAUCUACGGAUGAAAGCGGGGGAUCGCAAGACCUCGCGCGGACGGAGCGGCCGAUGGCAGAUUAGGUAGUUGGUGGGAUAAAAGCUUACCAAGCCGACGAUCUGUAGCUGGUCUGAGAGGACGACCAGCCACACUGGGACUGAGACACGGCCCAGACUCCUACGGGAGGCAGCAGUGGGGAAUUUUGGACAAUGGGCGAAAGCCUGAUCCAGCCAUGCCGCGUGCAGGAUGAAGGCCUUCGGGUUGUAAACUGCUUUUGUACGGAAUGAAAAAGUCUUCUCUAAUACAGGGGGCGAAUGACGGUACCGUAAGAAUAAGCACCGGCUAACUACGU